CAACCUGCCCAGAAGCAGGGGAUAGCCCACCGAAAGGUGGAUUAAUACCGUAUGUGAUUGCGGAGGGAUUCCUCCGCGUAUCGAAGGUGGGGAUCCUUCGGGACCUGCCGCUUCUGGAUGGGCUCGCGGCCUAUCAGCUUGUUGGUGAGGUAACGGCUCACCAAGGCGACGACGGGUAGCUGGUCUGAGAGGAUGAUCAGUCACACUGGAACUGAGACACGGUCCAG
rnacentral:rRNA from 1 species